rnacentral:rRNA from 1 species
GACGGAGGAUGCAAGUGUUAUCCGGAAUCACUGGGCGUAAAGCGUCUGUAGGUGGUCAAAUAAGUCAACUGUUAAAUCUUAAGGCUCAACCUUGAAAUCGCAGUCGAAACUAUUAGACUAGAGUAUAGUAGGGGUAAAGGGAAUUUCCAGUGGAGCGGUGAAAUGCGUAGAGAUUGGAAAGAACACCAAUAGCGAAGGCACUUUACUGGGCUAUUACUAACACUCAGAGACGAAAGCUAGGGGAGCAAAUGGG